UAAGUAAAUCAGAUAGCCGCAGGCCUUUUGGGCCUGAGGAAAGUCGGAGCUCCACAGGGCAGGGUGCUGGAUAACGUCCAGUGGGGGUGACCCCAAGGCAAGUGCCACAGAAACAAACCGCCGGGAGCGGAGGUCAGAGGUCGGAAGUCGGAAGUUUUCUGGUUGACGGGUUCUGGUCUCCGUUUUCGGUAAGGGUGGAAAGGUGAGGUAAGAGCUCACCAGCAUUUAGGUGACUAAAUGGCUCGGUAAACCCCUUCCGGAGCAAGACCUAAUAGGGGAACAAUGAGGUAGCCCGCUUCGUUCCCGGGUUGGUCGCUAGAGGUGCCAGGCAACUGGCAUCCCAGAUAGAUGGCUAUCAAAUACAGAACUCCGCUUAUAGAUUUACUUACUUC
rnacentral:RNase_P_RNA from 1 species